AGUUGCUGAUCGGCGGCCCUUGUACGGAGGUGGUCACACACAGCCAACGAAACCACAUGGGCAACAUGGAAGAGCAAUUGCCAAAGCUUUUGGGCCUUUGCCUGGAUUUCAUCACACAGCAGCAAUAGGUCUCUAGGACUCUGGUUAGGUAGCCUGUAUACACUUUAUUUCUGGAAGGAAAAAUCAGGCAUACUGCAUAUCGGCAGUUGGUGAGAUGGCGUGGGAGUUCGUAGGCUAUGUUUGGGUUCCACUGCAAUCCUGUGCCGUCACAAAGAUCUGGCAGAUCUUUAAAUCCACACAUCGUACAGGUUUCCAGGAUGUGAUUUAUUUGUGGCAAAUAAAAGACAGUACACCUGAAUCA